GACAGAGGGUGCAAACGUUGUUCGGAAUUACUGGGCGUAAAGCGAGUGUAGGCGGUGUGGUAAGUCGGAUGUGAAAGCCCCGGGCUCAACCCGGGAAGUGCACUCGAUACUGCCACGCUAGAGUAUCGGAGAGGUUGGUGGAAUUCUCGGUGUAGAGGUGAAAUUCGUAGAUAUCGAGAGGAACACCGGUGGCGAAGGCGGCUCUCUGGACCGACACUGACGCUGAGGCGCGAAAGCGUGGGGAGCAAACAGG
rnacentral:rRNA from 1 species